ACAUUGAGUGUGAACCGAUGAACACCCCUAGAAAUAAGACAAAAUAUUUUUAAUGUACUAAAAAGUGUGGAAGGUUUAGGAAAGUCUUUAGAAGCAUUUUUUCCCAAAUUUCUUCGACUCUUCUUCUCCGUUCAAUCUCCAUGGCUCAAGCAAGAACUUGAUCUACUCAGGAGCAACCUUCUUCCUCCAUUGAUUCCGAUGCGCCACCUCCUUCUCCAACUCCGAUCACCACUGGACAGGGAGUCCCUGCCUCUGCAUCAAAUCCAUCUCUGAAUCCACCUGUUCGUGAUCGACCUGCUCAAGAAGAUGAAAAUAAUCCCUACUGAAUGGGCAAUGGAGACCACCCAAGCUUGAUUCUUGCUUUCCCACCACUCACGGACACUAAUUUUCAACAAUGGGCCCGUGAUUUCAAAUCUCAGUUAGUGCCAAGAACAAAUAUGGCUUCCUCACUGGAUCUAUUCCCCAACCCCCUUCUAACCACCAUUUGUUUGAUUCUUGGAACAUGUGCAAUCAGAUGGUUAUGUCUUGGGUUAUUCACUCGGUAUCACCAGAAAUCAAGAGAAUCAGCAUGUUCCUUGAUACAGCUGCUGCAAUGUGGACCGAGUUAAACAACCAAUUUAAUCAAGGAAAUGGCACUCGCAUCUUUGAUCUUCAGACAUCUCUCAUUACUCUUCAUUAGGGAGAAAAUUUCGUAAGUGCGUACUUCACUAAACUCAAAGAAAUUUGGGAUGAGAUUCAUGAACUCUGACCACGCACACCAUGUACCUCUACUGCCACUGCUGACAACCUUGAGCUUCAGAAUCUUGAGCAAGUUUUUUAAUUCCUCACUGGACUAAAUGAGUCCUACAAUGUCAUUCGUGGUCAGGUACUUCUUAUCAAUUCUUUCCCCUCUAUUGCAAAAGUCUUUUCUACUAUUGCGCAAGAAGAAAGGCAGAGGAAAUUGAGGCACUUAUCUCCUACAACUCUCAUAGCUGCAUCCACUUCCAAUGCCCCACCUUCCAAUCUGCCGCCACUUCCACAUUAAAGAACCAAAAAGAUGCGGCCUACAUGUUCUCAGUGCAAAAAAUCCGGGCCACCUCGAAGAAAAAUGCUACUUCAUCCAUAGUUUUCCCCUAGAUAUGGCACCAAAAAUUUCACCAACAAGCCUACUAUCAAUCAAACUAUUGCUUGUACUCCAAUUCCUAAUGAGUUGGACAAUCACGCUGCUAUACAAAAUCUCAUUGCUUUGCUCAGCAUUAAACUCCAACAAGCUUCAUCUUCCAAUACAGAUGCUCUACCCGUGGUUUCCAAUUUUUUUGGUAACUUUAUAUCUCUUUCUAAUGAUUAUUGGGUCUAUAUGUUAAAAUGCAAAUAUGAUGUUCAAACUAUUAUUCCUAAAUUUUAUACUUAUGCACUCACUCAAUUUCCAGCCCCCAUAAAAGCCAUAAGAUCGGAUAGUGCUAAAGAACUAAACUUAAGUUAUUUUUAUGCAACAUAAGGCAUCCACUUAUAUCAUUCUUGUGUUGAGCGCUCUCAACAAAACUCUGUUGUUGAGUGCAAACACCAACAUAUCCUUAAUGCAGCUCAGGCAUUAGCUAUACAAUCUAAGUUAUCUCUUCCAUAUUUGAACUAUUCCAUUACUACUGAUGUAUAUAUUCUCAAUAGAACACCUUCUGCACUCUUAAACCUUCAUUCUUCUUUUGAAAUUUUAUAUGCUAAAUUACUAUCUUAUGAUCAUCUUCAAAGUUAUGGCUGCCUUGUUUAUGCAUGUACCCUUGAUAGUAAACGCACUAAGUUUACUCCUAGAUCUUGUGUUUGCAUAUUUAUUGGCUAUCCUCCAGGUAAGAAAGCAUAUACUCUACUCGAUAUAGCUACUAACCAAAUCUUUCAUUCACGAGAUGUUAUUUUUUAUGAGCAUAUUUUCCCUUUGACUCAAUCAAGUUCUAUUAAAACUUUUGGUUCUAUUUUUUUACAGCAGUCAUCCACCUUUAAUUUCCAAUACUGAGGACACAUCAUUUGUACCUACUAAUGAUUCAUAUGAGCAGCCAACAAUUACUUCUAAAGUUGGUCAAAAAAUUAUUCAGCUGCCACAUCUCAAAGACUACAUAAGUGCAAAAUCUUCUUCAACCCCUAUGAAGCCUAAUAUUAAAUUAAGCAAAGAUGAUGGAGAGUUACUUACCGAUCCUACUUCCUAUAGGAGUUUAAUUGGUAAAUUAAUUUAUCUAACCAUUAAUAGACCAGAUACUUCAUUUUCUGGAACAAGUUGAGCUAAUUCUUAAGCGUGCCUAGACAACCUCAUUACAAGGCUUCUCAAAGAAUCCUCCAGUAUCUCAAAGGAAAUCUUGCUCAGGGACUUUUUUUUUCACUCAGCACCACCAUCACAGCACAAAGAUGUUGCUGCCUCGCAUUUAUAAGCAUCCCUUUUUUCAUCUCAAAGGUGUUUCAAAUGCCGAUUGGGGUACAUGUCCGGAUACCAGAUGCUCAAUAUCAAGCUAUUGCAUUUUUUUUGGGUAGAUCUCUAGUUUCAUGGAAGUCUAAAAUGAAAACCACAGUUUCAAGAUCUUCUGCAGAGGCUGAAUAUCGUGUUAUGGAAAACACAACUUGUGAGUUCAUAUGGCUAAUUGCUUUACUAAAGGACUUCGAGGUUCAACACUCACAACAAGUGGUCAUGUAUUGUGACAACAAUGCUUCAUUUCACAUCUCUGAGAACUCCGUCUUCCAUGAACGCACCAAGCAUGUUGACAUUGAUUGUCACAUUGUUCAACAAUAAGUUCAAAGUGGCCAAUUGAAGCUCAUUCAUGUUCCUUCACAAGACAACCUAGCUGAUAUAAUCACAAAGCCCUUAUUCCCAACUCACUUUAUAAAUAUAUUAUCCAAGAUGAGUCUCACCAAUAUGUACACCUCAUCUUGAGGGAGAUUGUUAGGAGAUAAAAGUAUGUUAGUUAGUUUAACUUUCUGUUAGUAGUGUUAGUUAUAUGUAACUAACUUUUCUUUGCCUAUAUAUUAGUUGGUAUCUCUUUGUAAAACUCACUUUUGAUGUCAAUCAAUAACAGAAAGUAUUUUUCAA